rnacentral:rRNA from 1 species
AGAGUUUGACCCUGGCUCAGAGCGAACGUUAGCGGCACGCCUAACACAUGCAAGUCGCACGAGAAAGGGAGCAAUCCUGAGUAGAGUGGCGCACGGGUGCGUAACACGUAGAUAACCUGCCCUUUGGAGGGGGAUAACGUUCCGAAAGGAGCGCUAAUACCGCAUAACGCCUUUUCCGGUUCGCCGGAGAUUGACAAAGAUAGGGACCCGCAAGGGCCUAUCGCCAGAGGAGGGGUCUGCGGCCCAUCAGCUAGUUGGGGAGGUAAUGGCUCACCAAGGCAGAGACGGGUAGCUGGUCUGAGAGGAUGAUCAGCCACACUGGUACUGGAACACGGACCAGACUCCUACGGGAGGCAGCAGUGGGGAAUCUUGGUCAAUGGGCGCAAGCCUGAACCAGCGAUGCCGCGUGAGUGAAAGGCCUUCGGGUUGUAAAGCUCUGUGGGGCGGGACGAAAAAGCAGGUUCUAACAGGACCUGAAAUUGACGGUACCGCCUUAGCAAGCACCGGCUAACUCUGUGCCAGCAGCCGCGGUAAGACAGAGGGUGCAAACGUUGCUCGGAAUCACUGGGCGUAAAGGGCGUGUAGGCGGGAAGGAAAGUCGGGCGUGAAAUCCCUGGGCUCAACCCAGGAACUGCACUCGAAACUUCUUUUCUUGAGUGCCGGAGAGGAAACCGGAAUUCCUGGUGUAGAGGUGAAAUUCGUAGAUAUCAGGAGGAACACCAGUGGCGAAGGCGGCUUUCUGGACGGUAACUGACGCUGAGACGCGAAAGCGUGGGGAGCAAACAGGAUUAGAUACCCCGGUAGUCCACGCUGUAAACGAUGAGUGCUAGGUGUCGUGGGUAUUGACCCCCGCGGUGCCGUAGCUAACGCAUUAAGCACUCCGCCUGGGAAGUACGGUCGCAAGACUAAAACUCAAAGGAAUUGACGGGGGCCCGCACAAGCGGUGGAGCAUGUGGUUUAAUUCGACGACACGCGCAGAACCUUACCUGGGCUGGAAAGUGUUCGGAAGUCUUGUGAAAACGAGAUGUGCCCGCAAGGGAGCCGAGUGACAGGUGCUGCAUGGCUGUCGGCAGCUCGUGUCGUGAGAUGUUGGGUUAAGUCCCGCAACGAGCGCAACCUCUAUCGUUAGUUGCUACCAUUUAGUUGAGCACUCUAACGAGACUGCCGGCGUCAAGCCGGAGGAAGGUGGAGACGACGUCAAGUCCUCAUGGCCCUUAUGUCCAGGGCUACACACGUGCUACAAUGGUGCAUACAGAGCGACAGGCAAGUCUAGUACGUACAUCGCGGAUCUUCAUCUUUGCCCCCCUAGAUCGGAAGAGCACACGUCUGAACUCCAGUCACAUCUCGUAUGCCGUCUUCUGCU